AUACGUAGGUCCCGAGCGUUGUCCGGAUUUAUUGGGCGUAAAGCGAGCGCAGGUGGUUUAAUAAGUCUGAUGUCAAAGGCAGUGGCUCAACCAUUGUGUGCAUUGGAAACUGUUAGACUUGAGUGCAGUAGAGGAGAGUGGAAUUCCAUGUGUAGCGGUGAAAUGCGUAGAUAUAUGGAGGAACACCGGUGGCGAAAGCGGCUCUCUGGACUGUCACUGACACUGAGGCUCGAAAGCGUGGGUAGCAAACAGGAUUAGAUACCCUGGUAGUCCACGCUGUAAACGAUGAGUGUUAGGUGUAGGGGGCUUGAAGCUUUCUGUGCCGCAGUAAACGCAAUAAACACUCCGCCUGGGGAGUACGGUCGCAAGACUAAA
rnacentral:rRNA from 1 species